AAGAAGCAAGACCGUGAGGUGGAGGCAAAACUCAAAAACUUAGUCUCAGUUCGGAUUGUAAGCUGAAACUCGCCUACAUGAAGCUGGAGUUGCUAGUAAUCGCGAAUCAGCAUGUCGCGGUGAAUACGUUCCCGGGCCUUGUACACACCGCCCGUCACACCAUGAGAGUUGGCAAUACCCAACGUACGUGAUCCAACCCGCAAGGGAGGAAGCGUCCUAAGGUAGGGUCAGCGAUUGGGGUGAAGUCGUAACAAGGUAUC
rnacentral:rRNA from 1 species